rnacentral:rRNA from 1 species
AUUGAACGCUGGCGGCAUGCUUUACACAUGCAAGUCGAACGGCAGCACAGGGAGCUUGCUCCCGGGUGGCGAGUGGCGCACGGGUGAGUAAUACAUCGGAACGUGUCCUGUUGUGGGGGAUAACUGCUCGAAAGGGUGGCUAAUACCGCAUGAGACCUGAGGGUGAAAGCGGGGGAUCGCAAGACCUCGCGCAAUUGGAGCGGCCGAUGCCCGAUUAGCUAGUUGGUGGGGUAAAGGCUCACCAAGGCGACGAUCGGUAGCUGGUCUGAGAGGACGACCAGCCACACUGGGACUGAGACACGGCCCAGACUCCUACGGGAGGCAGCAGUGGGGAAUUUUGGACAAUGGGGGCAACCCUGAUCCAGCCAUGCCGCGUGCAGGAUGAAGGCCUUCGGGUUGUAAACUGCUUUGUCAGGGACGAAAAGGACCGUGUUAAUACCAUGGUCUGCUGACGGUACCUGAAGAAUAAGCACCGGCUAACUACGU